AAUUUAUGGUGAGGGCAAUCUCUCUUGUACUCUUCGAAACUUUCUACGGCCUCGUAGAAUGGUUCAUUUGGCCUUUGUUGAAACUCCAAGAUUUUUCUCUUCAUGU
rfam:Arabidopsis lyrata subsp. lyrata unplaced genomic scaffold ARALYscaffold_5, whole genome shotgun sequence.